UACGGGGGGGAGCAAGCGUUGUUCGGAUUUACUGGGCGUAAAGGGCGCGUAGGCGGUCAGCACAAGUCAGUUGUGAAAUCUCCGGGCUUAACUCGGAAAGGUCAACUGAUACUGUGCGACUAGAGUGCGGAAGGGGCAACUGGAAUUCUUGGUGUAGCGGUGAAAUGCGUAGAUAUCAAGAGGAACACCUGCGGCGAGGGCGGGUUGCUGGCCGACACUGACGCUGAUGCGCGAAAGCUAGGGGAGCGAACGGG
rnacentral:rRNA from 1 species